rnacentral:lncRNA from 1 species
GUAGAAUCAUUUGAUUUCCCUUCCGUACCAACUCAACUGCGACUGACAUCGGUCAACUUCUUCUUGUUGUUGUUUUAUUUAGAGAAGACCUACGCAGCACCGGUUUGGCUUUGAUAUUGCAGAAUUCAACCAGGCCUUAGAGCACAAAGACUAAAUUGAUUGCUCUCUUACACAAGGUUAAGAAAAUAAAAAAAAAACAAAAAUUCCGUUAACCGGUUUUUUGUAUUUAACAAGAAUACCAGCUCGGGCUCCUGUAAAACGGCGCUGAGAGGAGGGCUCCCUCUGCUGAGCGCGGGCAGAACUACAUGGCACUAUUUCUAGCUGUUCAACGCCCGUCUUGCCCAGACUAGAGCCAGCUCUUAAAGAGGGUGCAUGAUGGCUGUACCUGAUGUGCGGUGUUUUAUCUGUGUAUUGUGCUCGACAUAGGAGGUGACUCAGCACCUGCGGUAUCUCCAGUUGACUGGGAGCGAACCGGACCGGACCGGAGUGCGGAUGCACCAGAUCAAUCUGGGCUGUCUGUCCAUCGCAGAAAAGUGUCAGCAUUGACAGAAUUCAGAAGAACUUGGUAAACAUCACACCCUGCUCCUCCGUAGAAAGAAAGGCAACACGAUAAAGAAUUUUUCUGCAUCUACCUGUGGCGCACUUAGCCCGAGACGUCUCCUUCAUUUCCCGAGACCUGACGGCCCCACCCCUCGUUUGUGGCUCAGCUUGCCGGUAGGACUUCCACGCGUUCAUCUGCAGAUUUCAUUCAGAAAGCGGCGGCAAUUCGAAUUUUUUAAAACUGCGCGAAAUGUGAGACAAGAGGCCGCCAGUUUUUGAGAAUCUGCAAAACAUACCGCCCCCCGAGCCGUUUACAACCCGCGGAAGGAUUGUAUAUCGCCC